AACAAGGUUUCCGUAGGUGAACCUGCGGAAGGAUCAUUGAUGUUCCUUAGACAUGACCGCGAACGUUCAUCAAAAUUGUGAAGGCGUCGGGGUUUGGUUGUCGGUUGUUUCGGCGCAUCCGUUUGGUUGUGGCUCGAUCAUCCGCCAAUUCAGUUAUCCUCGACCUUCCAACACCGACGGUUACUCCCUUGCGAGGGAGGUCUGACCGGAAUGGUGGCUGAACAACCAAGAGACGCAGAUUUGCGUCAAGGAACUUGAAAAAUGACAACGCCUGGCAUUUAGUCGGUGUUUUAACCGCGCUGGUAAUGAACGACUCACGGCAACGGAUAUCUCGGCUCUCGCAUCGAUGAAGAACGUAGCGAAGUGCGAUACUUGGUGUGAAUUGCAGAAUCCCGUGAACCAUCGAGUUUUUGAACGCAAGUUGCGCCCAAAGCUCUUUGCCAAGGGCAUGCCUGCCUGGGCGUCACGUAUCAUGUCUCUCCAUCAAAACUUAUGUCGGUCGAAGUUUGAUGGUUGAGUAAAAUGGCCUCCCGUUUUCUUCGUAGAUCGGCCGGUCGAAAUUGGAUUUUCCCUUGUCAUUGGGUUCUAGGAACAUUGGUGGUUGUCGUCCUUGUUUUUCCAGAGCCGUGCUUGGGUAUUUCUAACAUGGUUCCCCUAUUGGCGCAUGUUCUAUGCCUCAGGAAGCGACCCCAGGUCAGGCGGGAUCACCCGCUGAGUUUA
rnacentral:rRNA from 1 species